rnacentral:sRNA from 1 species
GGUGGGGGUUCGGGCUGCUAAAAAUAGACUGCCCUACUCAGUGAUAACUUCCUGCAUGCCCGGCAGAUGCUCAUGCCAAAUUUUUGCGAUCAGAUAGCCCAUAAGUUCACGUUUUAUCGUUGGUUUU